GAAGCAAUGGGCAACAUCCAUGGCUCAGUGGCAGAACAUCUGCUUUGUGUGCAGAAGGUUCCAGGUUGAAUCCCUGCCAUCUUCA